rnacentral:rRNA from 1 species
AUGACCCUUAUUGACUUAGGGCGUCUCGCUUUCCGGCGCCCCUUCGGCCCUCCUGAGGUGGUCGCUUGGGACUCCCUCCUCCAGGACAUUGCCCUUCUCCCGAUGGACAUCAAGGAUACCCCUGAUUCUGUCGCUUGGAGGCUGGAGCCCUCUGGCCGCUUCUCCACUAAGUCCCUAUACGCAUCCAUUGCCCCCUCGAUUGCGCCAGAGCCCUUUAGCCUGAUCUGGGACAUUCGCUUGCCUCUGAAGAUCAGGAUCUUCCUGUGGCAGUGGAUCCGUGGACGUCUCCCCUCUAGGGUUGAGGUCCUCAAGCGUAAUGGCCCAGGGGAUGGGCUAUGCCCCCUGUGCGGCACGGUGGAGGAUGCUAACCACAUCUUCUUCUCUUGCUCCACUGCCCAGUUCAUGUGGGCUUGCUUCCGCGAGAUGGUCGGUGGACAGUGGUGCAACACCAACUUCCCCGACUUACUUGCUGAAAUCCACGCCUCCUCCCCUCGCUACCGCCAUAUUAGAUGGAUUUGCGUUGGGGUCCUCGCCUGGACGCUUUGGACCAUCCACAACAAGCUUGUUAUUCAGAAAGUGCCUCUCCGCCGUGCGACUGACGCAAUCUUUAAAAUGUGUGGCUACUUGCAGCUUUGGCGGCCGCUUAGCUGCCCCCAGGACUGGGACGCCAUCAACACCCUCCUCGCCGACCUUCACUCGAUGGCCUUCCGCAUGGCGCCCCCGCUGCCACCCCCUCCUCCGGAGCCCAACUAG